rnacentral:rRNA from 1 species
CCUACGGGAGGCAGCAGUGAGGAAUAUUGGUCAAUGGCCGGAAGGCUGAACCAGCCAUGCCGCGUGAAGGUCAGUGCCCUAUGGGCGUUAAACUUCUUUUGUGCGGGAGCAAUAAUGGUCACGUGUGGCCAGACGAGAGUACCGUACGAAUAAGCAUCGGCUAACUCCGUGCCAGCAGCCGCGGUUAUACGGGGGAGGCAAGCGUUAUCCGGAUUUUUUGGGUUUAAAGGGUGCGUAGGCUGGGAGGUAAGUCAGCGGUGAAAUGCCCCCGGUCAACGGGGUGAAGUGCCAUUGAUACUGGCUUGCUGGAAUGCGGAUGCGGUGGGAGGAAUGUGUGGUGUAGCGGUGAAAUGCAUAGAUAUCACACAGAACACCGAUUGCGAAGGCAUCUCACGAACCCGCGAUUGACGCUGAUGCACGAAAGCGUGGGUAUCAAACAGGAUUAGAUACCCUUGUAGUC